AUGAUUUAUCGUAUAGUUCUUAAACAUAUUCGCGAUCAAAUGAUACAUCAUUAUAGGAUAAUGAUAUUUAUCGAGUGGAGGUCGUUGUGUACCAUAUAGAUUAGUUGUUCUCUUAAUCAAAGAGUGUAGUAACACUGGUAUGGCAUACAAGUGAGAUGUAGGAGUACAUCAUUACUAAACAAGUGACUCACCUACUGAGCAUUCUGCUGUCA
rnacentral:lncRNA from 1 species